CUAUAUCACUGUUACUGCUCCCACUGGAAGGCUAUUCCAGGUAUCUACUACCCUUUCUAUAUCACUGUUACUGCUCCCACUGGAAGGCUAUUCCGGGUAUCUACUACCCUUUCUAUAUCACUGUUACUGCUCCCACUGGAAGGCUAUUCCAGGUAUCUACUACCCUUUCUAUAUCACUGUUACUGCUCCCACUGGAAGGCCAUUCCAGGUAUCUACUACCCUUUCUAUAUCACUGUUACCGCUCCCACUGGAAGGC